ACGCUCGACACCUACGGAGGCAGCAGUGGGGAAUAUUGCACAAUGGGGGAAACCCUGAUGCAGCGACGCCGCGUGAGCGAAGAAGUAUUUCGGUAUGUAAAGCUCUAUCAGCAGGGAAGAUAAUGACGGUACCUGACUAAGAAGCUCCGGCUAAAUACGUGCAAGCAGCCGCGGUAAUCUGAGCGGGCUGGCAAGGC
rnacentral:rRNA from 1 species